rnacentral:lncRNA from 1 species
AUGUUACACGGAAACAUAUUUAUUUUUAUGCCUCAAAUGGACACUGGACUUUUUAUUGGAUUGCAUUAUUUGCCAUAUUUGAUGAUAAGGAGUGGAACUACAUGCUGGCUGUGGAGCUUGUUAAGGCACUGUAGCAUCAUGGGAGCAACAGCACACAGCCACACACAGGGUAACAGGAACAAAGUGCAAUGGGACACGGAAGUUGGAUAAUCAGCAUUCAGCAUGCACACAUAUAAAAUUACGACAUAAUUGGACCCCCGCUUCACUUUUUUGAGCGCACUGACUCUGAUGUGUGUUCCAUUUGUCAAAUUUCAGGUUUUAUUUCCUGUGUACCUGUGAUUUUCUUUCUACAUAAGCAUGGAUUAUGUAGAAAGAAAAUCCUAGGAAAUACAAUCUUAAAAAGCAUUUGUGCUCUGUAGUUUUCUGCACAACCAUCUCAUUAUAUAGUAUUAUUUCCUGUGUAGUUCUAAUAUACUGGUAAUAUGUAUGUUUAAUGUUUGAAAUAAUUGUAUGUGAAGUCUGCUCCCAGUUGUAAUAAACAAAUUCUACAAAUAAUUUGAAUGAUUAAUAUCAGCACCAAACAUGUAAUGUGGGUAGCAAUCCCUGCUGAAUAAAAACGACAGUGUAUAAAAACCUUGUUCCUUCUGUCUUUAGUCAAGUAGUGGAAAACUAGCUGGUUCAAAUGUUUUGGUUGCCCUUUAUCUUUUUUGAUAAUCAAUAUUCAAAUAUGUAUUAUGUUAUAUAAGUGUUGUUUUAUUUGUUUUUAUCUCCACACAGUCUACAAACAAAAUUAAAAAGAGUCUACAGCCAUGCUAGCAGCUCUGUUUAGCUGCACAGCAGUGCUUUGAGCUAAAUGUUAUUGUUAGCAUGCCAACAUCCAUUACAUCUUGAUGUAAAUCAGGUAUAAUGUUUACCAUGUGCACCAUCUUAGUUUAACAAGUAAUCAUGCUAACAUCUGCCAAUUAGUGCUAAACAGAUGUAGCUGAGGCAGAUGAGAAUAUCAGUUUGCAGGUAUUUGAUGAUCAAACCCAAAAGUAUUUUGACCUGGUGACCUAUCAUAAUUAAAAACUAAGAAAAUGAAAAAAGGCAACAAUAAAGUAACUUGCAAGUAAAACAUGGACAAGCAGUCC